rnacentral:tRNA from 1 species
AAAAUCCGUCGACCUUUUUAAGUCGUGGGGGGUCAAGUCCCU